rnacentral:rRNA from 1 species
CCUACGGGAGGCAGCAGUGAGGAAUAUUGGUCAAUGGGAGAGAGCCUGAACCAGCAAAGCCGCGUGAGGGAAGACGGCCCUAUGGGUUGUAAACCUCUUUUGUCGGAGAACAAAACCCGGGACGUGUCCCGGACUGCGUGUAUCCGAAGAAAAAGCAUGGGCUAACUCCGUGCCAGCAGCCGCGGUAAUACGGAGGAUGCGAGCGUUAUCCGGAUUUAUUGGGGUUAAAGGGUGCGAAGGCGGUCCGUUAAGUCAGCGGUAAAAUUGCGGGGCUCAACCCCGGCGAGCCGUUGAAACUGUCGGACUAGAGACGGCGAGAAGUACGCGGAAUGCGCGGUGUAGCGGUGAAAUGCAUAGAUAUCGCGCAGAACUCCGAUUGCGAAGGCAGCGUACCGGCGCCGGACUGACGCUGAGGCACGAAAGCGUGGGUAUCGAACAGGAUUAGAUACCCCUGUAGUC